GAUAACUGGCUUGUGGUGGCCAAGCAUUCAUAGUGACGUUUUUUGAUCUUUCAAUGUCAACUCUUCUUAUCAUUGUGAAGUAGAAUUCACCAAGUGUUAGAUUGUUCACCCAUUAAUAGGGAACAUGAGCUGCAUUUAGACUGUCGUGAGCUACUGAUG
rnacentral:ncRNA from 1 species